rnacentral:lncRNA from 1 species
UAUCUCGCCGGCACGGAAAUAAAGGUGGGUAGAAAACAAAAAAUGACCAAUGGAGCAUAAUUUAUAACAAACUCGUUUAUUAACAUAAAAAUCUUUACUGUCCACUUACAUCGGUGAGAUCCAUGAAAACAACAUGUGAAAGCAAUAACAUCAUCAUUAUCAUGAAAUCAUAUAAACUUUAUAACAUAACACUUAUCAUGCCUUUGCAUUUUAAUCAUUAAACAACAUAUUUUCCUCUUUAACCAGCCUACUAGUAUCCACGGGGAUCCAUAGGGGUCCCGCUACCCGUGAACCCUUAACAUUUAUAACCUGAUUCCAGAGCUGUCCCCAUACCCCGUCCAGUAUAGGCGGCAAAACCAUGAACCUUAAUACCCCGUCCGGUAUGAGGGUGAAACGGGCCGUCCCCAUACCCUGUCCGGUAAGGGUGCCAAAAUAUAUAAGGCCUCCAUACUCCGUCCGGUAUGAGAGACCACGUUCCCGGUAGGGUUCCCUACGGACCCGGUCCGUCCACCAUCUCCCAGGAUAUCUAGUCAGGCUGUCCACAUUUUUCACUUAUCAAUUCACAUAACCUUUUUGCCCUUUUCCUUUAUCUCAAUCAUCUAAUCAUACACAAACAUGUAAACCAGUCAUCGACACCAAACAAGACAACACAGUAUCGGGUUAAGCAUAAUACCAACCAUAAUAAAAGAAACUAUGAUUCAUGCAUACGAGACCAUAAUAUAAUUACAUCAAAUAAUAUGCUGCAUUUAAUACUGAAAAUUAGAUCAAACAAUAACAGACCAACACUAUAUCAGACUCGGGCUCCAUUGACAACCUUAAUCAAUUAUACAUCUAUAAAGUCACACCAUACAGUUUAAUUAUUUAUUUAGCUUUAAUACCGUGAUAGAAAACAGGGUGAGGGGUCCUUACUUGUUUCGGGGUCUGAAUACGGCUCUACAGUGCGCCUACAGGCUGUCCUUAAUUUUUCUGAAUUUUUUACCGGAAAACUGAAACGCACUAUCGGUACCUGCACGUGUCCCAAAAAAU